GACCCCUGGCUGUGGGCAAAGAGACACCUUGUUGCUAUGCUCUUAUGUCAGUCAGGGAUAGUGCAGUUGACAGCAGUCCUUUGUUCAUCCUAGCUUGAUGCCUGGCUUGGUGGCCAAAGCUCUUUUAUACCUAGGAUACAUAA